AACACAUGCAAGUCGAGGGGCAGCAUAAAAGUAGCAAUACUUGGUGGCGACCGGCGCACGGGUGAGUAACGCGUAUGCAACCUACCUAUCAGAGGGGAAUAACCCGGCGAAAGUCGGACUAAUACCGCAUAAAACAGGGGCACCGCAUGGUGAUAUUUGUUAAAGAAAUUCGCUGAUAGAUGGGCAUGCGUUCCAUUAGGUAGUUGGUGAGGUAACGGCUCACCAAGCCGACGAUGGAUAGGGGAACUGAGAGGUUGGUCCCCCACACUGGUACUGAGACACGGACCAGACUCCUACGGGAGGCAGCAGUGAGGAAUAUUGGUCAAUGGGCGGGAGCCUGAACCAGCCAAGUCGCGUGAAGGAAGAAGGAUCUAUGGUUCGUAAACUUCUUUUGCAGGGGAAUAAAGUGCAGGACGUGUCCUGUUUUGUAUGUACCCUGAGAAUAAGGAUCGGCUAACUCCGUGCCAGCCGCUGC
rnacentral:rRNA from 1 species